AUGCAUCAGGGGAAACCCCCCGACUUUAUUCCUUCUCCAGGGCCUAAGAAGACCUCGCAGAUGAGCAGUUUUCUUUCAAGAAUCAAGAUUACCAAGCACAAUGCAAGUCAAUAUACAAAUAAUUAUGUUUCAACUCAUGUAUGCCUCAAGUGUUGGUUACAUGUUGUCAUGAAAAUAGUAGCUACAUGGAUCAUCAGAUUAAGGAUGGUCCCAUCUUCCUACCUCUUUGUUUCAGUUCAACCUUCUGACCACAGGCAUUCCUACCCCACAGUAGUAGGCACUCGUGAUAUCUUCUUGCUGCAUUCCCUAUUCUACUGCAGAGAUUGA
rnacentral:rRNA from 1 species